GGAAGUAAAAGUCGUAACAAGGUUUCCGUAGGUGAACCUGCGGAAGGAUCAUUAACGAACAAUCGAAGGAUGCGGUCGCUGCUGGGCUUCUUCACGAAGUCAACGUGCACACGCUCUUCUCGUUCAACCAAUCUACCCCCAUCUGUGCAUCUCUCGUAGGCCGAGAUCUCUCGGCUUAUGUUCUUUUACCACAAAGUAUCCUUUAAAUAUAUCAGCGAAUGGCAACCGUUCGAGCUCUGUCUCGACGUAGAAAUAUAUACACAACUUUCAACAACGGAUCUCUUGGCUCUCGCAUCGAUGAAGAACGCAGCGAAAUGCGAUAAGUAAUGUGAAUUGCAGAAUUCAGUGAAUCAUCGAAUCUUUGAACGCACCUUGCGCCUCUUGGUACUCCGAGAGGCAUGCCUGUUUGAGUGUCAUUAGACUAUCAACCCGAGUCGCUUUCGAGCUUCAUCGGUGUUUGGAGCUUGCGGCGUGCGGGAGGGGCUCUCUGGGGCCCCCUCCGCUCCUCGCGGAAUACAUCAGCAGAUGUCCCACUUGCGGACCAGUCUUGGCGUGAUAACUGUCUACGUCUUGGCUCGGGCCCGUGUUUUCUGGCUCUGCUUCGAACAGUCGCCGGUUCGGUGCGACGAAAGAUUGACAAAUUUGACCUCAAAUCAGGUAGGAUUACCCGCUGAACUUAAGCAUAUCAAUAAGCGGAGGAAAAGAAACUAACAAGGAUUCCCCUAGUAACUGCGAGUGAAGCGGGAAAAGCUCAAUUUUAAAAUCUGCCUGUCCC
rnacentral:rRNA from 1 species